AUUGAACGCUGGCGGCAUGCCUUACACAUGCAAGUCGAACGGCAGCGCGGGGCAACCUGGCGGCGAGUGGCGAACGGGUGAGUAAUAUAUCGGAACAUACCCUAGAGUGGGGGAUAACGUAGCGAAAGUUACGCUAAUACCGCAUACGCACUAAGGUGGAAAGUGGGGGAUUCGCAAGAACCUCAUGCUCAUGGAGUGGCCGAUAUCUGAUUAGCUAGUUGGUGAGGUAAAGGCUCACCAAGGCAACGAUCAGUAGCUGGUUUGAGAGAACGACCAGCCACACUGGAACUGAGACACGGUCCAGACUCCUACGGGAGGCAGCAGUGGGGAAUUUUGGGACAAUGGGGGCAACCCUGAUCCAGCAAUGCCGCGUGAGUGAAGAAGGCCUUCGGGUUGGUUAAAGGUACUCUUUUUGUUCUAGGGAAGAAACGGUAGAGA
rnacentral:rRNA from 1 species